rnacentral:rRNA from 1 species
GUGCCAGCAGCCGCGGUAAUUCCAGCUCCAAUAGCGUAUAUUAAAGUUGUUGCAGUUAAAAAGCUCGUAGUUGAACCUUGGGCCUGGCUGGCCGGUCCGCCUCACCGCGUGCACUGGUCCGGCCGGGCCUUUCCCUCUGUGGAACCCCAUACCCUUCACUGGGCGUGGCGGGGAAACAGGACAUUUACUUUGAAAAAAUUAGAGUGCUCCAGGCAGGCCUAUGCUCGAAUACAUUAGCAUGGAAUAAUAAAAUAGGACGCGCGGUUCUAUUUUGUUGGUUUAUAGGACCGCCGUAAUGAUUAAUAGGGACAGUCGGGGGCAUCAGUAUUCAACUGUCAGAGGUGAAAUUCUUGGAUCAGUUGAAGACUAACUACUGCGAAAGCAUUUGCCAAGGAUGUUUUCAUUAAUCAGGAACGAAAGUUAGGGGAUCGAAGACGAUCAGAUACCGUCGUAGUCUUAACCAUAAACUAUGCCGACUAGGGAUCGGACGGUGUUAUUCAUGACCCGUUCGGCGCCUUACGAGAAAUCAAAGUGCUUGGGCUCCAGGGGGAGUAUGGUCGCAAGGCUGAAACUUAAAGAAAUUGACGGAAGGGCACCACCAGGGGUGGAGCCUGCGGCUUAAUUUGACUCAACACGGGGAAACUCACCAGGUCCAGACACAAUAAGGAUUGACAGAUUGAGAGCUCUUUCUUGAUUUUGUGGGUGGUGGUGUAUGGCCGUUCUUAGUUGGUGGGGUGACUUGUCUGCUUAAUUGCGAUACGAACGAGACCUUAACCUGCUAAAUAGCCCGCAUUGCUCCGGCAGUGCGCUGGCCUUCUUAGAGGGACUUCGGCUCAAGCCGAAGGAAGU